UACAGAGGUGGCAAGCGUUGUUCGGAUUUACUGGGCGUAAAGGGUGCGUAGGCGGUUCCGUAUGUCGGAUGUGAAAUCCCACGGAUUAUCCGUGGAACUGCAUUCGAAACUGCGGGGCUGGAGUGCAGGAGAGGAAGGCGGAAUUCUCGGUGUAGCGGUGAAAUGCGUUGAUAUCGAGAGGAACGCCGGUGGCGAAGGCGGCCUUCUGGACUGCAACUGACGCUGAGGCACGAAAGUCAGGGGAGCAAACAGG
rnacentral:rRNA from 1 species